UACGUAGGUGGCAAGCGUUAUCCGGAUUUACUGGGUGUAAAGGGCGUGCAGCCGGGCUGACAAGUCAGAUGUGAAAUCCCGCGGCUCAACCGCGGAACUGCAUUUGAAACUGUCAGUCUUGAGUACCGGAGAGGUCAUCGGAAUUCCAGGUGUAGGAGUGAAAUCCGUAGAUAUCUGGAGGAACAUCAGUGGCGAAGGCGGCCACCUGGACCGGUAUUGACGCUGAGGCGCGAAAGCGUGGGGAGCAAACAGG
rnacentral:rRNA from 1 species